GUCCACGCCGUAAACGAUGCGCACUAGGUAUGAGAGGUUUUGACGCCAAUCGUGCCGAAGCGAAAGUGCUAAGUGCGCCGCCUGGGGAGUACGGCCGCAAGGCUAAAACUCAAAGGAAUUGACGGGGGCUCACACAAGCGGUGGAGCAUGUGGAUUAAUUCGAAGCAACGCGAAGAACCUUACCUGGGUUUGACAUGUACGGAUGCCGUCCAUGAAAGUGGAGCCGGCUGCCUUCGGGUGAAACGUAUACAGGUGCUGCAUGGCUGUCGU
rnacentral:rRNA from 1 species